GACGAACGCUGGCGGCGUGCUUAACACAUGCAAGUCGAGCGGUAAGGCCCUUUCGGGGGUACACGAGCGGCGAACGGGUGAGUAACACGUGGGUGACCUGCCUUUAGCUCUGGGAUAAGCCUGGGAAACUGGGUCUAAUACCGGAUAUGACUCCGCGGUGCAUGCUGUGGGGUGGAAAGCCUUGUGCGGCUGGAGAUGGGCCCGCGGCCUAUCAGCUUGUUGGUGGGGUGAUGGCCUACCAAGGCGACGACGGGUAGCCGGCCUGAGAGGGCGACCGGCCACAC
rnacentral:rRNA from 1 species